rnacentral:other from 1 species
GACAUUCUGGUUCAUUCGCUAAUGUGUAAAUAAAUUUGAACCGAUACUAUUAAAUAGGUGAUAUUCCACUGUCAUUGUUGAGCAGUACCUAUCUCAGGGAAGCCUGAUUUGAUAUGAAAUUCACCACCUGACCUUUCGGUUCAGGUAGAGCACAUGGCGGUGAUUUGGUUUGUUA